GCCUGGGUGGCUCAGUGGUUGAGCGGCUGGCUUCGGCCCAGGGCGUGACCCCGAGUCCUGGGAUCGAAUCCCACAUCAGGCU
rnacentral:tRNA from 1 species